rnacentral:rRNA from 1 species
GACGAACGCUGGCGGCGUGCUUAACACAUGCAAGUCGAGCGGAGCGGCGAACGGGUGAGUAACGAGUGAGUAACUGCCCCCAUCUCUGGGAUAACAGUUGGAAACGGCUGCUAAUACCGGAUAGUGGGGGAUGACUCGCGUCCUCUCAGCUUGUUGGUGGGGUAGUGGCCGACCAAGGGGACGAAGGGUAGCCGGCCUGAGCGGGCGACCGGCCACAUUGGGAUGAGAGACGGCCCAAACGCCUACGGGAGGCAGCAGUGGGGAAUAUUGCACAAUGGGGGAAACACUGAUGCAGCAACGCCGCGGGCGGGAGGACGGACUUCGGGUUGUAAACCGCUUUCAGCCAUGACGCGGUAGUGGCAGAAGAAGCACCGGCUAACUACGUGCCAGCAGCCGCGGUAAUUC